rnacentral:rRNA from 1 species
GACGAACGCUGGCGGCGUGCUUAACACAUGCAAGUCGAACGAUGAAGCCGGAGCUUGCUCUGGUGAAUUAGUGGCGAACGGGUGAGUAACACGUGAGUAACCUGCCCUUGACUCUGGGAUAACUGCUAGAAAUGGUAGCUAAUACCGGAUACGACCCUCGGAGGCAUCUCCAGGGGGUGGAAAGAAUUUCGGUCAAGGAUGGACUCGCGGCCUAUCAGCUAGUUGGUGAGGUAACGGCUCACCAAGGCGACGACGGGUAGCCGGCCUGAGAGGGGAACCGGCCACACUGGGACUGAGACACGGCCCAGACUCCUACGGGAGGCAGCAGUGGGGAAUAUUGCACAAUGGGCGCAAGCCUGAUGCAGCAACGCCGCGUGAGGGAUGACGGCCUUCGGGUUGUAAACCUCUUUUAGUAGGGAAGAAGCGAAAGUGACGGUAGGUGCAGAAGAAGGACCGGCCAACUACGUGCCAGCCGCCGCGGUAA